GACGAACGCUUGCGACGUGCCUAAGAAAUGCAAGUCGAACGGGGGAGCAAUCCCUAGUGGCGAACGGUCGCGUAACACGUGGGCAACCUGCCCUGAAGCGGGGGACAACAAGUCGAAAGAUUUGCUAAUACCGCAUGUGUCUCGCUGUGGCAUCACAGAGGAGACAAAGCCGCAAGGCACUUCAGGAUGGGCCCGCGGCCUAUCAGCUUGUUGGUGAGGUAACGGCCCACCAAGGCUUCGACGGGUAGCUGGUCUGAGAGGACGAUCAGCCGGAUUGGGACUGAGAUACGGCCCAGACUCCGUACGGGGGGCAGCAAUUAGGAAUCUUGCACAAUGGGCGAAAGCCUGAUGCAGCGACGUCGCGUGAAGGAUGAAAUCUUUCGGGGAUGUAAACUUCGUUUUAACGGGGAAGAAACAAAUGACGGUACCCCGUUGAAUAACGCCCCGGCUAACUACGUGCCAGCCGCCGCGGUAAC
rnacentral:rRNA from 1 species